GGGCAGUGAGGACUGGGUCUUCUUU
rnacentral:piRNA from 1 species